AUUGAACGCUGGCGGCAUGCCUUACACAUGCAAGUCGAACGGUAACAGGCCGCAAGGUGCUGACGAGUGGCGAACGGGUGAGUAACACAUCGGAACGUGCCUGAUAGUGGGGGAUAACUACUCGAAAGAGUAGCUAAUACCGCAUAAGAUCUCAGGAUGAAAGCAGGGGACCGCAAGGCCUUGCGCUAACAGAGCGGCCGAUGGCAGAUUAGGUAGUUGGUGGGAUAAAAGCUUACCAAGCCGACGAUCUGUAGCUGGUCUGAGAGGACGACCAGCCACACUGGGACUGAGACACGGCCCAGACUCCUACGGGAGGCAGCAGUGGGGAAUUUUGGACAAUGGGCGCAAGCCUGAUCCAGCAAUGCCGCGUGCAGGAUGAAGGCCU
rnacentral:rRNA from 1 species